rnacentral:rRNA from 1 species
CCGCGUCCGAUUAGCUAGUUGGUGAGGUAACGGCUCACCAAGGCGACGAUCGGUAGCUGGUCUGAGAGGAUGACCAGCCACAUUGGGACUGAGACACGGCCCAAACUCCUACGGGAGGCAGCAGUGGGGAAUAUUGGACAAUGGGCGCAAGCCUGAUCCAGCCAUGCCGCGUGAGUGAUGACGGCCUUAGGGUUGUAAAGCUCUUUUACCUGGGAAGAUAAUGACGGUACCAGGAGAAUAAGCCCCGGCUAACUUCGUGCCAGCAGCCGCGGUAAUACGAAGGGGGCUAGCGUUGUUCGGAUUUACUGGGCGUAAAGGGUGCGUAGGCGGACUGCUAAGUCAGGGGUGAAAUCCCAAGGCUCAACCUUGGAACUGCCUUUGAUACUGGUUGUCUUGAGUCCGGGAGAGGUGAGUGGAACUGCGAGUGUAGAGGUGAAAUUUCGUAGA